AUAAUAUAAGAAAGGAAAUGGUUGUGGAAAACACCAAUUUAACCUUUUGUCUUUGCCCUCCACCUCAUCAAAUUGGGGGCAUUUUGUGUCUAAAAUUUACUUUUUGCAACCAAUAUGUACUAUUAGUUUGAAAUCAAUUAUACUUACUAUCAUUUGUGUACAAUUUUUAAAAACAUGUUGUCUUAUUAGUUCAUGUAGAACAAUAUGUUAACCGAAGAAGUACUUUUUUUGAAACUCCAAAUACUGUUUGCGUGUACAGUACCUCACUGCCCCCAAGACCUCACUUUUCUGUUGUAGAAACUCAGCAAAUACAAACACACAACCUCCAUUCUCUCUCAUCAGAACCACAUAUCUCUCUUCUCAUUUCUCAUUCUUCAACUCAACCCUUAGCUUUGUUCUUCUUCUUCUACUACUGUUGAGCGCUGAGGACGAUGAUGAACACGAUGAUGGUGAUGUUGAUGUAGUUGGGUUCGUGAUGAACGAUGUUGAACGAUUUUAGAUGAAUGGGUUGAGUUGGUUGAAGAUCUAUGAAGAUGAUGACGAAAGCUAUGAAUCUGAAUCUCGGGUUUGUAAACAAGUAGCAGCAACACCAAUAAUAUUAGUAAGUACACAUCCUUACUUUCUUACUUCCUUUUCAUGGUUGUUUUAAUUUUCAAUUAUAUCUAGAUAAAUGGUUUUUCAUUGUUUUUUCUUACUUAUUAAAUAGAGUAACUUAACUUACUUUGUUAUCAUGGUGAUGGUUUUUGUCUCAACUUUCAAGCUCUUUGGUGAUGGUUUUUGUCUCAACUUUCAAGCUCUUUGUUUAUGGUGGGUUAAGAAGUAUUAUGGUUUUAUUUCACAUUGUGGGUUUAAAUUUCAUGUUUUUCCUACAUUUCUAUGAGUUUAUUCAUUCCAUGUUAUGAGUUUUACUUACAUUUUUUGGUUUAAUCUUAUGUUUGGCUGGGUUUUUUUGGAAUGUUAUGGGUUUUAUUUUACAUUGUGGGUUAUUUAUUUCAUUGUUUAAUGGGUUUCAAAACUUCUUUUUUAAGUGUGGUUUCUACUUUGUAGGUUUAUUUUAUGUCACUGCAACUUUUUUGUUUUACUUAAUUACAACUCACUAAGAUAUUGUUUCUUUCACUUUAUUAUUUGAUUUCUUUCAAACCUUAUAUUAGCCUGUUUUAAUUUUGGUUCAUUAUAGUUUCUCUAAUCAUAACUCUUGUGUUAAGUAGAUGUCAAGGCCAAUACUAACCAAAGAUUUUUUAAAAUAGAGUCAAAUAUGUGAUGGAUUUUGAAUGCAAUUGGUGUGGAUAUGGUGUGGUUACAGUUACAAAAUUAGGUUCCAACCAAUAAUAAUAUUAUUCUUUUCAAUUAAUCAACUUACAUAUCUCUCAUGAGAAUGAUUUUAAUUGAUCUUUAAGGUGAUUUUAACAUCACUAUGCUUUUGCAUUAACAUCACAAAUUUUAUUUGUUAUGCUAAAGGGAUGAUUAACUCUGAUUAAUAUUUUUAACACGUGAUUAGUAUACAUAUAAAUAAGUAUUGUGUUGAUGUUGUUAUUGUGUAUAGUGAUGAAGAUGAAACUGAGAUCAUUUUUUGGUUUUUUGGAUUGGUUGCUGGAGAAGAGUGAAAUUGAAGUCAUUCGUGAGUAACUCGAGAGCAUUUAGGUGGCAGCAGUUAAUAGAUAUUUCUAUACAGAUGCCUCUGAAGGUAUUUCAAGAUAAAGAUGGAUUACCGAGAAUUGUAUUGAUUGGUUCAAAUGGUUUUUCAGCUGAGUUUCAUUCCGGUGUUCCUCUAUGGAUGCCAGAUUUUUUCAUGGAAGAAUCAAAGGAAAGAAGAAUUGUUUUUUAUUAGCAGCAAGGUAAAAAAUAUAAUCGAAUUCUAAAAUAGAAUCAAAAUCAAAAAAAUAGAAUUGUUUGAUCUUUUGAUUGGCCAGUUGAUCGAUUAUGACAUUUACAUCUGCUGAUAUAUUUAAGGUUUUUUAUUUAUUUUUUAAAUAUAUUUCUUUGUUUCCCUGUUAGUUGUGUUCUCAAAUAUAUUUGUCUCUAACUUUGUUUUUUUUCUAUUGUUAGGUAUUAAAAGAAAUCUGUAGAAACUUUGUAAUUUUGUCUCAGAUGCCUUGCUUGCUAUUCACCACAAAGUCUUAUAUUUUUAAAUUAAUUUUAUGAAAAUCACAGGUGUCGGUGUUGACGCAUACACUUUUUUUUUCAUGUUCAUCAGUUUUUUAUUUAUUGAAUUACAUGAUUCCAAUAUUUAGUAUUGUGAUGUGUGAUUGCAGAGACAAAAAUUCUUGAGCCUUGGGAAAAUUAGGGAUGUGUGAUUGCAGAGAAACUUUGAAAGUCUAUUGAUUUCUUUACCUAUUAUAAAUUUAUAAUAUGUUAUUACAUAACAUGUAAGAGUGUUUUUGGAACAGUGUUAGUACGCAUAUCUAAUAAUAUAUUACUCUGCACACUCGCGUCACACUCAAUAUGACUUUUCUCUUCAACUUUUGACAGAACUGCAUAUAUUAUACAUAUUUUAUUUUUAACAAGUCUUAUAACAAUUCUCAAAGGUCCAGGUGUUCCAUGUAUCCCUAUUACAAUAAAUGUAUUUUUUUACAUAGCUCCAGUAUUAAUUAAAUAAGUUUUUAUAACGCAUGGGUAUCCUGGUUUUGGAAUAUAAAUUCUUAUAAUUAUUAGGGUCCUUUUAAGAUCCUUUUAUCGAAGCAUCAUACCAUAAAAGGAUCUUAAAAUGUAGAAAUGGGGGUAUAAAGAAGGAAAGUCACUUUUUGGCUUUGGAUAUGAUUUAAAAGUAUAUUAUUUAUCAUAAAUGAUAAAUCAAUAGCUUUCAUGGAUAUUUAAAUCCGACAUUCAUAGUCAUUUAAUUUUAUAGUUAACCUAAAUAAAUUAUACUAAAUAGGCACUUUAAAUAAAUAAUUUAUAAUCGUUUUUAAUUUAACAAGAUAUAAUGCUUUAAAACAAUUUCUAUAGUUAAAUAAAUAUUUUUAUGUAUAUCACUAAUUGAGAUGUAUACAAGAAAACUGUGACAUUGACACAAAUACGAUUAAAAUAAAUUAUUAAUAAAUCGGUUAAUAAUAAUUUUAUGGGUUAAAAAUGAUUU